rnacentral:rRNA from 1 species
AAACCAACAGGGAUUGCCCUAGUAACGGCGAGUGAAGCGGCAACAGCUCAAAUUUGAAAUCUGGCCCUUGGGUCCGAAUUGUAAUUUGUAGAGGAUGAUUUUGGUGCGGUAUCUUCCGAGUUCCUUGGAACAGGACGCCUUAGAGGGUGAGAGCCCCGUACGGUUGAAUGCCUAGCCUCUGUAAAUCUCCUUCGACGAGUCGAGUAGUUUGGGAAUGCUGCUCUAAAUGGGAGGUAAAUUUCUUCUAAAGCUAAAUACUGGCCAGAGACCGAUAGCGCACAAGUAGAGUGAUCGAAAGAUGAAAAGCACUUUGAAAAGAGGGUUAAAUAGCACGUGAAAUUGUUGAAAGGGAAGGAUUUAUGACCAGACUUUUUCUGGGCGGAUCAUCCGGUGUUCUCACCGGUGCACUUUGCCCAGUUUAGGCCAGCAUCGAUUUUUGGAGAGGGAUAAAAGCUUUAGGAAUGUGGCUCCUCCGGGAGUGUUAUAGCCUAUUGUAUAAUACCUUUCCGGGGAUCGAGGUACGCGCUUCUGCAAGGAUGCUGGCGUAAUGGUUAUCAAUCACCCGUCUUGAAACACGGACCAAGGAGUCGAACAUUUGUGCGAGUGUUUGGGUGUUAAACCCUCACGCGUAAUGAAAGUGAACGGAGGUGAGAGCCCUUACGGGUGCAUCAUCGACCGAUCCUGAAGUUUUCGGAUGGAUUUGAGUAAGAGCAUAACUGUUCGGACCCGAAAGAUGGUGAACUAUGCGUGGAUAGGGUGAAGCCAGAGGAAACUCUGGUGGAGGCUCGCAGCGGUUCUGACGUGCAAAUCGAUCGUCAAAUCUGCGCAUGGGGGCGAAA